rnacentral:lncRNA from 1 species
UCGCCUGAGGUAGGAUCCUUUGGAUAUGACAAAACAGGCGGUGUGGAGAUAAGAUCUAGGGUAGAUCUCAAGUGGUGCCCUGGAAGAUCCGCGUACGCACUUAACGAAGUGCUCACUGAAGAGGCGUAGGUGGCGGCCACGUUCCUCAGCUCGAAAGGGAACUCGGGAGGUGCCGCUGUCUCCCUUCCAUCCACAGGUGGAGGAGGACAGGAUGUUGAGGCCCCUUUGUCCCCCAUGCGGGGGACGGGCGCGGACCAUGCCUUUCCCUUCGACCGGGCGGGACGGGAGGUCGCGAUGACCCUCUGUUGGUCCUGGGUGCGGAGCUUGAUGCCCCGCGAGCCCCUCCUCUAGCGCCUGUUGGGCCAGAGGAACGGGCGACCUAGUGAGGAAUAUGUGGGGGGAGGGCCGGACGGACCCUGGCCUCAGUGGUAGGGUCAGAGAUCCUGGAUCUCUGACGCCCCCUCCAGUUGCCCCCCGCACUGCGUCCCGAAUGACUCCCACGCACUGACUGUGGUGGGAUCGGCUCGGGGCGAGGCUCGACAUUACUACGUGGCGGGAGGAGGACCAUGUCGUAGCCGGAGCCGAGGGACAUGAACUCCAAACUCCCGAACAUCAUGAUGGUGCCGUGGCAGAGUGGGUGAAAUCCGUCUGCCAUCCAAGCCUUCCCAGUAGGGACAGGUGAAUGUCACGCAGAAGGCCCCUACCUGGCGCGCCAACUGUCGGCGUCUAGAUUCGUGGUCUAGACACAAACGAGUAUAAGUCUGCGUGACUACCCAAGCCUGGAUGGUGGUGCAAGUGAGACACAGAGGGUUUAUACUAGUUCGGGCUUGGAAUGCCCUACGUCCAGUGAGAUCGGGGGUCUGUAUAGCCUUGCACCCAAAGGUGCUCGUAGUAGGGGGGUACAAGCAGGUUGCGAGAGAGGGCUAAGUCCCAGGUCUCGACUUUUGUGGAGGUCAGAGUGUCGGUUGCUGCUCUGUGAAAGAGUGUGAUGGUCGUCUGUGUGUACCUAGUUGUGAGCUCUGGCUCCCCUUUUAUAGCCUCAAGGGGAGACAGGUAUUACAUGAGUAGAUUUCCUUCUGUUGAAUGGUGAAGCCACAGUCCCGACCCUGUUGAAGCUGGUCCAUCUCGUCCUUGAGGGAUGGCUGACAACAUGGCCGCUCCUGUAGAGGGUUACCGAGCUCUGUAGGGGUCAUGGGGGUCGGAUCGGUGAUACUGCCGAUCGUCCUGUUAAUAGUGGGAGAAGACAGCAGACAGUGACGCUAGUUAACCUUCCCCAUCCCUUUUUUACUGUGAGGCAGUACACCACAGUGAAAGAGGUAAGGUUGCAUAGUGAAAGAGGUAAGGCUACAGUGACCAGGGUGGUUGGAACAGUCGCUGCCCUGCCCUGCUGCGGUAUGGGAGUCAUUGCGCCUGUCACAUCGUGGGUACGGGCGAUGUGUGGUGGAAGUCUUGCUGGUCUGGUGGAGCGGAGUCCGGCGCCCGAGCCUAGAAAGGAUCGGGCGAGACGGAACUUGCGUCCGAGGCCCUGAGGGGUCGGGCGAGUCGGAACUAGCGUCCGAGGCCCUGAGGGGUCGGGCGAGUCGGAACUAGCGUUCGAGGCCCUGAGGGGUCGGGCGAGUCGGAACUUGCGUCCGAAGCCUUGAGGGUCUGAUGAGCUGGGGCCCGUGCCCCGGUGAUUAUGGUCAAUAUGCUCUGUUUUUUGCGUUUUUUUAUUGCUCUGAUUUGGGUAUCCCUUUUUAUGGUACCCAACACUAUCCCAACAUCUAAUGAGUACAAAUUAACUUCAAAUAACAAACUACACAUGAAUCAACCCAACCCAGACACCUGUCGAAACCAUUGUAGUCAAACCCUAGACCAGUGUCAAGUAACACCAAUCCCAAACACUACAACAUUCUAAUAACUACACAAUAAUCAUAAUAUAUUACACGUGAUUACCCAAAGAAUGUUUGAAUAAACUAAACAAAAGCUAUUGCACACACCAUAAACCAGAGCAGUAUAGAAACAUCAACUAUAUACAAAAAACAACAGAAGGUGAGGGAGUCAUACCUCAUACAUGAGACCAAUGCAACCCAAAAUACAAAUGCAAACGUGAUCAAAGAGAGAGGAUGGGAGGAACAUAAGAGAGAAGAGAGGGACGGAGUUAGUAGCAUGAGAGGGCGAGCCUCAUCAUGUGCCACGUCAAAUCUGGUUAGUGGUCCACUCUAGCAUGGCAGCCCUUGUCGCACCACAUGUACUGGCAGUCUGGCACGACAGAGUAGUGGUGCUGUGCCACCGAGCGCGAUACAUCUGCUUAAAUUUUUUUGGAGCAAUGGUUAUUAUUAAAAUAUUGAUUAAAAAAGAUUAAAAAUAAAAAAUCAUGUACUAAAAUACUUUUUAUGUGUUAUGUUCCCAGUUUUGUCGUCCCUUCAGCUCACACUUCAAGCAGAAGCUCUGUCCCGUCAGUCUAAAUAAGGCUUGUUAGCGGUGACCACAUAUUUACAUGUAUUUCCUUCGUGAUUUACAGGCCUAGAUGGAACCUCUCAAUACUCUGGUAGUCCUAUAUGUCUCUAUUGAUCCAACCUCUGAGCUUAAAAUGAUAGAACUACUGUCAGUCCAAUAAUCCUCCAAAUCAAGGAAUCCUCCCUGCUCCAUUUGAGGACUUCAAAUAUCUACAUAGGUGUAGCUGCUACUGUUAAGAAUCAAGAUUGUUCAAUUUAUGAACUUGUCAAAAUACAAAAUGAACUUCAUCAUUGCGUUGCUCUUGUUGAGAUGGUAAAAAGUUCAUAUAUUAAACAACCAAUCUAGAGUCUGGAUUAAGGAGUUACGCUCUUAAAAAGAUGUUCUAACAUUGGACUUCUCGGCAAUUCUGAUUUGAACUGUUCCAAAUUCAUGGAAAUUUUGAAUAGUAUAUCUUAAAUUGGUUUUCUACUAGUGUCGUUGUCUAGACUCGUGGUCUAGACACUCACAAGUGAAUUUAUGUUUACGUGCCCUUAAUCUAGACGGUGAUGCAUGAAGAAAUACACAGAGUUUAUGCUAGUUUAGGCCUAAAAUACCCUACGUUCAGUAUGGAAGAGAGAUUUGUAUUAUCCUGCACGCGGGGUGCUCAUAGUAGGGGUUACAAGCAGGUUGCAAGAGAGGGAAUACGUCCCAGGUCUCGGCGUUAGGUGUGGUAUGUGAAAGUCGAUUUGUGUUUGACGUGUAAUCACUUGUCGUCCUCGAAUGAGACCCUCCCUCCCCUUUUAUAGUUCCAAAGGAAGGUAGGGGGUACAUGUGAUCGUGUUGUGAUGUCGCAAUGUUGAUCCAAGGUGUAGGUUAAGGUAUGGCGUCAUACAGGGUGGCAAGGUGCUCCAUUCUUGAUGUUGUAGUUAACUAUGGUCGCUGUAUGGAUGCUCCUAUUGCUAUAGCGUCCGUGCCGAGCCAUGCCGAUGCUGUGGACAAGACGCUCGUGCCUGUAUCUACCAUGCUGACCCCUAUUCCCCAUUUGUGUUGACCUCCGAACCCUCUUUCCCACGGUCCGUACCUAGGAGCUCUAACAGAUUCGUGGCUGCAGUAGCUAGGAUUGACGCUGCCCAUUCCUCCUGACCUGACUGUACGCACAAUGACAGGGGGCAGGUGCUGCAGUGACGAGAGUAGAUAGCACAGUACGCAUCAUGCCCUGCCCUGCACGGCGUGGCGUGGGGGUGAGGACGUGCCCCACGUCCUAUCCGUCGUACGGUGGUGUUUGGCGUGUACGAGAUGCUUUGAGUAUUUUAUUGGAGGAAGGUGCCCAAGUUUGGGCUUGGGCGAGUCGGAGAUCGUCCGAGGCUUAGCCUUGGGCGAGACGAAAAUCGUCCGAGACUUAUUUUUAGUUCUUACUUGGAUGCUUUUUCGGAGGCCUAGCUGUCCUCCUUUUCAAGGCUUGGUGAGUGGGCCUUGGCCUUUAUUGUUUUAUUUUGAAAAGGAGAUCUGGGUUUUUAUGAUCUCAGUUUGGGUAUCUUGAUUUAUGGUACCCGACAACUAAGAUAAAACCACUCCCUCUACGUAUAUUGGAGGAUCAUGGCUGAUCCAAGAUCCAAUCUAUAUCCUUUUUACAUCUAUUGCCAUUUUUGCCCUAAUCUCUUUCAACCGCGUAGAAGACGGCGCACAUAGUUGAUUAGUCGUGCCCACUACCAUGUGGAAGUCCACAAAGUCCUAUGAAUGCCAUCAGCUCUCCAGUGCCUGUUUAUUCUCCCCCCUCACCCACUGCCUUCCGCUGAUACCACUUUGCAUUUCCCAGUGACCAGGCGGACCUCCUUUAGAGGCACCACACUGCCAAGUUCAUCAGCCCGUCCCGCACAAGCGCUACAUCAUUUGUAACGUCCCUGGCCACGUACUGCACCGCCGGCAUGAAGCUCGAGCUCCGUGUGUUGUCACGGACGUGGUCACCGUGUCUAUGCCCAGCCUCCAAGAACACGAGCCCCGGCGCUAGAAGAGUGUCACUCCUAAUUUGUAUGUAUAUAUGCAGGCACCAAAUGGGAGAGCUCAGAAUGAGAAAUGACAAUAGUAUUGGGUUCGUUGACCCUUAUAUUGUUUUCAAGGCUCCGCAGGCAGUGUGGACAGCAGAUCAUGAGACAGAAGUCUGCACCAAUCUUAUGAGGUUCUUUGUGAACCAAAAAGAAAAACAAAAAAUACUCUUCCCCUUCAACUUCGAGUGAGUUAUAUAGUUAUUAAGUGCAUGCAUAUUUUAUUUUACAUUAUAGGACUGACUAUAUAUAUAUGUGUGUAAACAGCUUUCACUGGAUACUCAUGGUCAUUGAAAUUCCCAAGAACCGGUUGAUAAUCUUUGACUCAAUGAGAAAACCACAAGAAAAUUAUCAACAAAUGGUAAACAUUAUUCAAAGUUACGUAAUGUCGAUCUCAGCUACAAAAAUAUCAUAAUAUGACUCUGUAAUUAUUAGUUCACGAUAUACAAUGGCUGUGUAUAGGGUUUGGGAAAGAUUCAUUGACCGUGAACAUUUCAGUGGAUGUAAAGCGCCGCUUAACAUAAUACAUCCACAAGUAAGUUCUACUAGCUAACAAAAUUUCGCUAACUUUUAGCCUUCUUAUUGUCGUGGUCGUGAAUAUUUUUAUAUAUAUAUAUAUCGUACAGUGGUGUUUAAGACAAGAAGGGGGGAACAAUCUAUGUGCAUAUUACGUGUGCAAAUUCAUGAUGGCACAAGUCAAUCAAACACCCACAGAGACGCUCAAAGUACGUUACAUGUCUCUUUUCAUUAUCUCCUGAAUUAUAUUGAAUAACUUAGAUAACUAAUACCUUUUUUAUUUAUUUCAAAUUAAAGACGGAAUGGCUGAGGGAAAAGGUCCUACAACAAGACCGAAUCAAAGCUAUCCAAGAGACGAUAGCAGGAUUUCUCCGCGACCAAGUGAUCAAUCCAAACGGCGAGUUUCACUUCAACGGCAACGAAACUCUUAUUCCAAACAACGAUGAUCAUUUGUAUCGUUUGUAGACAUUGGGAGAAAAAACUCUAUGUAUAUAUGUGUUACGAAUUUUGUACAUAUAAAACUAUAUAUAUAUAAAGCUUUUUACAUAUCUAUUUAAUUUUUGAUGUGGUCUAUUCAUUUUAUUAUAGGCAAAGCUUAAUUAUUAAGCUAAGCCUAUAAUUUUCAUUUAUAUAUGCUUAAUAUGCGUGUAAUAUAAAUAUAUUAUUGUAUCAGCAAAACAUGUAUUGAAAAACCUAUUAUUAUAUAUUAUAUAUAAACAAUAAACAGAACCGAAGAAGUGAACCAAAAAAAAAGAAAAAGAAACCCUUUAACACCGGUUGGUAAUACCAACCGGUGUUAAAGGGUCCUGCAACGUGGCAGCUCUGGCAGGACCCUUUACCAACCGGUGUUAAAGGGGGGGCUUUAGCCCCGGUUGCCCGAACCGGGACUAAAGGGUGGGCCUUUAGUCCCGGAAGGGCAGCACCGGCUCGGGAACCGGGGCAACAGGCCCUUCCCGACCGGUGCUAAUGUCCGAACGUGUGGCAGUAUAACCUACCCCUGCAAUGGCCACCGGAGCCUUGUUUGGUAGCAUUGGCCAAUGAGCUGCCCAUUGCCUCGACGCCCACGGAAGCGGCAGCCGCGUGCAACAAGCAGCCUCGGAGCCAACAUUAGCGUGGCGCUCUGCGUGCGUGAUGCUCUGGCAAUUGCUGUCAAUGAUUUUUUUUUGUUUUAUUUUUUUAGCUUAGUGGCUUAAUGCAAUGUACGUACUCCCUCACAUGUUGCAACUAGCUAGCAUGCAUGUUGCUUUCGCUUUGUUUGCCAAUGCAAAAGCUCGUAUUCUGCUAUUACAUAAUUACAAACUGAAACUUAUCCAAGAUUCUCAGGCAAGAAUAUAGUAAAUCUAUGAAUCCGCAUAUUGUAAGAACAAUAUAAUAAACUGAAAUCAAAUAGUACAUCAACAUGUAAAUCUUCUAACAUAUGUAGUCGUUCCAUCCAGUCAGGCGGGAUGGGUUGGCACUAGUCAAUCAGACAGCAGCAGCGCACAUGGCUAAGGUGGGCCUGUGGUGUCCAUAAGAAGAGGAAGCUGCUGGCCGUGUCAGACUGAUUCGUCGGCACACACGUGUGUGGUGUACUCAUGUCGUCCUAGGUUUGAGCACUUGCUAGGUGCACGAGUGUAGUGUACUCGUGUCGUCCUAGGCACGAGCACCGGCUAGGUCGUGCUGAGACGGAUCUAGCCAAAAAUUGAAUGACGACACCACCUUCUUAAACUUUUGUAGCUACAGAGAAAAUGCUCUAAUUUUCUUUAAAAAUGAACAAUUGAGUGGUGGUAUGUGCCUCCACUCGUUCUACGCUAGUCUACCUUUGUUGCCACUCCGAUCCCGCGCACUAGUCGUGCUAUCACUACUCUUGUGCUUGUGUGUAUAGCUCCAGGGGUUAUAAAAGGCUAGAGGCUAUGGCAGGUGGGCUACCUAGGGUGGCCUCGGUGACGAGCGAGCCAGCGGGAAGGUCGAGAGUUGGAAUGGGCCAAGCCACGCAUGCCGCCAUGGCGUGCCGAGGUCGAUAUGCAUGCCGCCAUGGCUGCCAUGCUGACACGAUUCUGACAUCCAUCGGGUCGUGCCGUGCUUAGGCCAGGCUGCUAAGGCGCAAAUGUUUUGACUAUACGCAGAUUACAACGACACACAUGUACAUGGCUUAGGGAAACCUGUGGCGGCACGAUAUGGAGCCAUGGAGGAGGAUGACAUCAUAUCGACAACGAGGACAGCCAGGAUAGUUUUUGAGGAAAGACAGCCAUGAUAGUGUUUGGACGAGGAUAUCUUGUGUGGCCUUGCCCACGUACCAACCUCUGCCUACUCUACGAGAUGUACAUCUCUCCUUGAGGCUUCCGAUGGUGCCGCUGUGGUUGCCAUCGUCACAUAGAUGUGACAACGACGUACGGAAGGCAGUUGAGAAAGAGUCGUGGGAGCCAAAGUUAGGACGUGUUCUGGCACCAUUUGCUUCCACUUCAACUUCUUCUAACAGAUACGUACUAUGGUGUCAUUGUUUGCAACUAUAGCACGAAGCUGUUCCAAACCCCGAGAUACCAACAAAAUAAACUAUAAAAAGGGGUGAAGAAUGUGAAGCAGUGUAUACAAAAGCUGGGAUAAUCCAUACAAAACACACCCACAGCAGUGUCGUAGCAUAUACAACCCCCUUACUAGUGUCGUCCUACGAUUCUUUGAAUUUCCACGCAGCGGGAAUGGGAACACCGUAUGCAUGGGCGCGCUUAUGCAAUGCUGCCUUCACAGAAUUUUUAUUUUCCAUGUUACAUAGUUGGUGAAGGAUCACAUGGCACUAGCUAGUCUUGGCAACCUCAUUCCUCCCAAAGCACAAGGACGGCUGUUGUAAAAGCAAUUCCUACUUUCCCGUGCACGGUACAUCCUUUACUGUGUAACAUAUUAAAGUGGCAGUUGACUUGGCUCUACAAUGAUCACUCAUGCAUGCUUCAUCAUCAUAUCAUAAAGCGAGCAUUGUGCAACAAGCAAACCAGAACAGUGGACGAUGUAACUGCAACCAUUUCAUAGGACCACGGACGAGCUGAGCUCGGUCUAGCGUGUGUGGGGCUGUAUAUGGGCACGGUGCGAAUUCCGAACGACUACGGCCUUCUUUAGAUUCAAAAACUUUUUGGAUUUUGACACUGUAGCAUUUUCGUUGUUAUUCGACAAAUAUUGUCCAAUCAUAGAGUAAUUAGGUCUAAAAAAUUCGUCUCGCGAUUUACAGACAAACUGUGUAAUUAGUUUUUAUUUUUAUCUAUAUUUAAUACUCCAUACAUGUGCCACAAAAUUCGAUGUGAUAGAGAAUCUUAUAAAGUUUUGGGUUUUUGGUAGUAUCUAAACAAGGCCUACAGAAGGAGUAUUUCUUUUUUCAACUAAUGGAAUAGUACUAGUAGUCUGUUUGUUGCGAGCUUUCAUCGAGCCCGACAGCGCAGCUGCGCAGCAGUUAGAGGCGUACAGGUACACCCGGGCGUUGGGCUCCCGGAGCUGACUGUGAUUGCAGCCGAAACCGAUGAUGGGACGCUAUCGAUGAAAUGUCGACUGGAUAUUAAUUACUCCUACGUAUGAUUCGGUCUUGUUGGGUGACACGGGUCCGUCGGCUGGACGAUGAGAACUACAGUACGUCCUUUGCCAAGUCUCCGUACCAUCGAUGAUGCCUGCAAACCUACUGCUAUACUACAGGCCGUUUUUCGUGAUACUGUAGUAUUUUUAUUUGUUUGUGAUAAUUAUUGUUCAACCAUAGACUAACUAAGCUCAAAAGAUCCGUCUCUUAAAUUUCGACCAAAUUGUGCAAUUAGUUUUUAUUUUCGUCUAUAUUUAAUACUCCAUGCAUGCGUUUAAAGAUUCAAUGUGACGAGGAAUCUUGAAAAAUUUUAGGUUUUGUGGUGGAAGUAAACAACAUAGAAGUGGCAGUUAAGCCCGCUGCGUGGGCCCUAUUUGGUUUGUCCUGUUAAAAUUUAUCACCUAUCACAUCGAAUGUUUGGACAUAUGUAUAGAGUACUAAAUAUAAACUAUUUACAAAACUAAAAACAUCUUUUAAGUUUAAUUAGUCUAUGAUUGGAUAAUAAUUAUUAAAUAAGACAAAACUGUUACAGUACUUAUUACUUUAACACCCCAAACCAAACAUCCCCUAAGAAAACAUGCAACUAUAGAUCACGUAUUAGCAACAGUAGUUUACAUUUGAUUAAAUUUUCAAUGAAUAUUAUUCAAGAUUUAUGAUUCCAAAUUAAUUUAUUAAGAAAAAUACAUUUCAUAAUUAGUCUAACUAGUCUAUCAAACCAUGCUCUCACACGGGCUAGAAUCUUAAAAGAUGUACUAAUAAUAUAUUUGAUUAAUAAGAAAUUUCUUAUAUUAAAUUAUAUAUUUUUCUUUGUCCAUUUUCUACAAAGUAGACAUAAUAUAUACUUUAUAGUCUAUAUCUAAUGAUAAAAAACUUAUUAAUUAUUUUUUGCAAGGGACAGAUUUAUAUAUUUUUCAUGACUAUUCAUAUUUUUUCUUUUCAUGACACCUUCUAUAUUUUAAUAUGCAAUUAGUUUGAAACCUUGCAAUUAACUAUGGUGAUUCUUGUUGCAUAUAUUAAGUCAUGAAUAUGAAUUUUGAUAUUUUGACUUUAUUUUUAUUGGCUGCUAUAGAUUUUUUUCCUCAAGUUAAAACUCUUAUAUUUAUUGUUUCUCUUACUAACUCUUAUUUUGGCCUACAUUAAAAUAAGGAUUUUAGGUCGUAUAGUACAUUCCUAAACGCUACAAUAGCAUAUGCAAUCAUUUGAAACUUGCACCAUGUCACCUCAGGUAAGUGAUUGAGCUUGAAAUGGGAUCUCGAAUGUAGGUAGCAGUGCUAAUCUCAAGAGAAUUUUAAAUAUUAUUAACUCUUAUAAUGAUCGAAUUAAUCAAGAGUAAUGUUAAAGAGACAAAAGAAUUAUAGCCAUCAAUAGUCUCCCAUAAUUCUUAAGAUGAUUGAAUUUUUCUAUUAAGGAAUUAUACAUGCAAUUAUGGUUAUACUAUCAAUAUAGACGUGUUAAACAUUUAGUUAAAAGAUAUAAAUAUAGAUAAAGUAAGAACCUAUAUAAAUUAUGUCAUGGUUACUAAUAUAGUUUUAAAAAAUUGUCAACAUCAUUAAUAUGAGUUGUUAAGGAAAUAUAUUUAUCGCUCGUCCAUGCCGGCACAAUUGGUAUGCAUACAUUAAUCAAAUCUUAAUAUAUUAAUAUUGAUAGAAGUGGUUAAUGUACAAAUAUCUACAUACUCUAUGGUUAUCUAAAGAAUUUUUAAUAGAAGAUAUUGAUUAUCUUUUAGAUGUAUAUUUGAGAGGAUAAGUAAUGAGAUGAAAAUUGAGUUACAUACAUAUAUUAUUCACUGUAAUAGGAGUACGUGGGUAAUUAGAUGCAAAUCUAGGUCUACUUAGAUCAAGUUUUUAAUGGCAUAUGUGGAUAGUUUAAGUUUAGAGUCAUGAGUUAUUUGAUGGUGUUUUAUAUAAUAGUAGAGGAAGGUAAUUAUUUAUAAAAUAUAAUAUAUCCAAUAUCUAUUAUUAUCAAUGGUGAUUUGGUUAUACCAAACUGAUGAUCAAAAAUGUUUCAGCUUUUUGUGAGAAAUUUCUAGAAUUUAUCUUUUAUCUUUCUGUUGUGUCGCGUGAGGAUUAACAACGUAGAGGCUCCUUUAAGGACCUCUAGUUAGCAUUUUUAGUAUUUAUCUUUUUUUAGCGUGACAUGCAUUUAGUUUAAACCUAAUCAUAAGAUAUAUAAACUCUUAUUGCAUCCCUUUUUGUGACUUCACAAAUUAUAGUUUAGCUUUCGACUUAUAACCAAGUUGUACAUUUUUUCCAAGUGUUAAACAAAACUUUUUUAUAUAUUUAAAGUUUAUUAUAUUAAAAAGAGUUUCGGUCUUAGUAAUAUAUUGUUUUCUGCAUGUUAAUUAAGUUGAAACUCAGCAUGUGCUCUAGCACCGGACUGAAUUAUUGAACCUGUAUCUCUUGUAAAGAUAAAUCCUAGUAGCUAUUUCUCUUGCCAUGCAAAUUGUCUACAUCAGCAUCCACUAGAACAUUCCUGUAAUACCUGAUUUUAAGGACAAAACUAGAUAUGUACCAUAUGCGAGUUUUAAAAGACAAAUCUCACAUAUAGCUACAAAUAAGGGGUAAUAUCAAAAGACAAUGCAUAAAUUAUAUAACGUACUUAGUAUAAAAGAGAUAACCUUUGAUAGCAAACAACGGAUAGACAACUCCAAACUUCGGGUAUUAACUUCACUCAACAAGAUCCAACUGACUGGUUGAUCACACGCCUAAACUUCUCCUGAGGUUUGGGGGGAAUAGGAAGAGUGAGUCCAUGUCGAACUCCACAAGUAUAGCAACUAGAUUGUAUAGCUCCCACAAUCUCAUGAUCAAUGUGACAUAAAUAAUGUAGAGCAUUAAACAAUAAACAAUGAGCAUAUUUAACACACAAGAUUCAUCACCCUUAAUGUAGAUGUCCCCAAGGCCGCUCCUGACCAUGAGCUCGGCUAGUAUACUAGUUUUUAACACCCAGAGGUUGUACAUCUUUACCCAUGAGUCAUGAUUUACCCUUUCGCCCGAGGCUCGUCGACCUCUUAACCCACUACCAAGGAAGGUCGGCAGGGAUCACUAUGAAGCCUUUCAAAAGUUCAUCUAAUAUGUUAGGGCCGCAAGGUUUCAUUCGCGAGCAGAUAUAGAUACCCCCUUCCGAAUGGCACAAUGACGCGCAGCCUAUACACAUAGGGACAGGGACUCGCACUAUACUUGUGUCAGUUCAGCUCCUCUAGCGUCCUUUCGGGUAACCGCUAACAAGCUAGAAAAUGUCUCCAUACUGAGCUAAAGCCAGAGCCAUUAUAGCCCUCAUGGUUGCACUGUUGUCCCGGGUGAUCACAUACAGAUAAAUCAUCAAGUUGCUAAAAAGUCACUUUUAUUAUUUAUUACUUAACAUUAAUCUAGUCACAGGAUCAUGGUCAUAGAAAUAAAAUCCAAAUUACUAUACUUGCCUUGAUCCAAAUGCUCUUGUUGAUCCUGCUGGUCUUACUAGUUGCCAAGGCUUUGAUCUUGAUCACUGAAGCACUCCGGUUCACCAAGGAUUGCUCAUCGUCUAAUCUCGAUCAUCGAUCACACAACCAAUCGAAGAAAACAUACACGAAGCAAACAAGGCUACAAUUAGAACAGUACACCAAUCAUAUGAAAACAGUACGAAAAGUUUAUAAAAUAAUUCUACGCAUCGCUACGAACUCACAAACGUAAAGAUCACGAAAAUCAGAGCUAAAACGGAGGAGAUAUGAAUUUUCCAAGAUUUCCUAUAGAAAAAUAAUUAAUUAAAUAAGGUUACGAAAAUAAAAGGUUUCAAACUGAGUAAACAAUUUUACUAACAUGUAGAGCUCAUGAAAAGGAACCUAACGCAAUUUGAAUGGGUCAAAACGGAGUUAAAAUGAACAUUUUAUGGCCAAAAGAAACUCAGUGGCAGUUUGGUAAUUACUGAAAACGUAUUUUGGAAUCAAGCCAGCAGACUUUACGUCUUCAAAGUCAGAAGGCGUAUUUCAGUCUGUACGUAUUGGACCGCGGGUUUUAUAAUAAAAACGCCAGGGGUUCUUUAACAAAAUUUCAGGCCGAAAGGGUAUCGGCCGAUUUGAGCCGCUGGAUCUGAGAUUGAUGGCACAGAUUAGAUCAAAGGAGAGAGGAGGGCGAUUUCCAGCUGGCUACAGGAACCCCGGCCGGUGGCGCCAUGGCCGGAGGGCCUUGCUCCUCGCCGGAGUUGGCGUUCUUGCGAUUCUAGGCGCCUAAAAACAAAAUAAAAAUACCAAGAGGUCGAGUAGGAGGAGGCGAGUUCACCUGAGCCCUCAACGCGACCAGAGAGACCUCGGAUAACGCGGGCCACGCGAAUUGGCGGACGGGAGACCUCCUGCACACCAAGGUCAUGUUAGCGAGCAACUAGAGCCAGGGAUAAAGAAGAAAAGGGGCUUUGAACCUUCGUUACCUAGUUGCGAAACUUGACCACCACUCAGUUUCGGCUUAACAGAGGAGAACCACAAACCCCCACGGCGGCGGAAGGGAUCUGCUUGACUGCAAUGUCCGAUAGGCUCGCAGGGCGGAUUUUAGGGCACCAAACGGCUUGAGAUGGAAACGGGAUCAAGGAUGAGCACCCCAUCUCCUUAUAAGGACGCCUUACGCAAGUUGAAAGCGGUGAAUCUCGUGCAAAUCGGGAUUUGGUGCCAUCGGAGUUGAGUCUGGCUCAAGAACGGUAGGUGGAAGACGGCUGCUCAGUGGGCCCCACCUGUCGAUCACUAAGUACGCGGGGCCGAGCUGUCAGCCUGAGAAGAGUGGGGGGAAAAGGCACGCCCUAUCUGGGCCGGCUGCUAGCUGGGCCGCGGUGUGGAGAGGGAGCCCAGGCGCGUGCUGCUGGUCUGCGGGGUGGGAAGGGGAGCUGGGCCUCUGGCUGCUGGGCCAACAGGGCCGAGGGGGAAGGGGUUGGGCUGCGGGGAGAGGGAGGGGUUUUGUCUUUUCUUUUGUUUCUUUUCUUCUACUUUUUGUUUUUUUUUCAAAGCCAUUUCAAAAACAAGUUUGAAAAUCAUUUUUUAAAACAGUUUGACUUUCUUUGAACUUUAAUUAAGUCCACACAAUUCAAUAAAACAAAUGCUCCAAAAAUGA